rnacentral:rRNA from 1 species
UACGGAGGGGGGCUAGCGUUGUUCGGAAUUACUGGGCGUAAAGCGCACGUAGGCGGCUUUGUAAGUUAGAGGUGAAAGCCCGGGGCUCAACUCCGGAAUUGCCUUUAAGACUGCAUCGCUAGAAUUGUGGAGAGGUAAGUGGAAUUCCGAGUGUAGAGGUGAAAUUCGUAGAUAUUCGGAAGAAACACCAGUGGCGAAGGCGACUUACUGGACACAUAUUGACGCUGAGGUGCGAAAAGCGUGGGGGAGCAAACAGA